rnacentral:rRNA from 1 species
CGGUGUUUAACUGGCGUGAUGUGGGACGUCCUACCGGUGGGCUUAGCCUCGCGAGGGGCGGCCCAACUAAUAUCCCGUCGCGGUGCUCUUUACUGAGUGUCGAGUCGGGCCGGUACGUUUACUUUGAACAAAUUAGAGUGCUUAAAGCAGGCUAUCCUCGCCUGAAUACUGCGUGCAUGGAAUAAUGGAAUAGGACCUCGGUUCUAUUUUGUUGGUUUUCGGAACCCCGAGGUAAUGAUUAAUAGGGACAGAUGGGGGCAUUCGUAUUGCGACGUUAGAGGUGAAAUUCUUGGAUCGUCGCAAGACGGACAGAAGCGAAAGCAUUUGCCAAAAAUGUUUUCAUUAAUCAAGAACGAAAGUUAGAGGUUCGAAGGCGAUCAGAUACCGCCCUAGUUCUAACCAUAAACGAUGCCAGCUAGCGAUCCGCCGAAGUUCCUCCGAUGACUCGGCGGGCAGCUUCCGGGAAACCAAAGCUUUUGGGUUCCGGGGGAAGUAUGGUUGCAAAGCUGAAACUUAAAGGAAUUGACGGAAGGGCACCACCAGGAGUGGAGCCUGCGGCUUAAUUUGACUCAACACGGGAAACCUCACCAGGCCCAGACACCGGAAGGAUUGACAGAUUGAUAGCUCUUUCUUGAUUCGGUGGGUGGUGGUGCAUGGCCGUUCUUAGUUGGUGGAGCGAUUUGUCUGGUUAAUUCCGAUAACGAACGAGACUCUAGCCUGCUAAAUAGGCGUACCUUAUGGUAUCGCGAAGGCCCCCGGCUUCGGCCGGUGGGUUUUUACUACCAACGUACAAACAAACCUUCUUAGAGGGACAGGCGG